rnacentral:tRNA from 1 species
GGUCCCAUCGUCUAGUGGUUAGGACAUGACGUUCUCAACGUCAAGACACGGGUUCGACUCCCGUUGGGACUA